GUCUCGCGGUCGUGGUAAAGGGAAAGUUUCCACUGAAUCCCCUGUGACUGUUCAGUCCAUGCCCUCUACCCUGACUACCCUAUAUCGACCCCUAUGACAUCAUAGGCAGGUCUAGCAGACCAACAGUUCAUCAUAGUCCCAAAUCCAAACUACAUGCCUCCUUUUGCUAUGCUCCCUGCAGAUCCAGCGACAGAGCCUGCGGUGGGUGAUUCCUCCAGUGCCCCCAGCAAGAUGCCUCUCUACCACCACCCGUCAUCCGACUGAGGAUUUGUCCCGAUGACAUGCAGGAGUUUGCACCAAACCCCAAUUCUUGCACACAUAAGAUCUCCGAGGUCAUUAACUCGAUGUAUGAUCACCCGUGGCCGACCUACUACACGCAGAUUUCGGGUGAGACCAGAGAUCGAUGGUUUCAGAAGUGGACAUUAAAAUUCAUAUAGGAUGCGGAGCAUAAUAUCAUGAUCAGGAAGAUCUACGACCACUGGACAGCUAAACGACUUUAGCAUAUGAUAAGCGACGUUCGUAAGGGACGCGACCACCUAACAUCGUAGAUCCAUCCAGCCAUUAAGAAGGAACUAGAGGCCUAUUUUAGAAAUAAUGAGGGAUUCAAGCGUCGCUAUCUGAUAAACGUUGCUAACAGAGUUUCGUCCAAGUCGUCGAAGUACACGGGUGGAUUGGCGACCUUCAUGAAGACGAAGAGCAAACUGUCUAAGUUGUUGGACCGUGAUGCGACACUAGCGGAGAUCUUCAAGUAUACCCAUACUUUGAAGGCCAACAAGGAGAGAUUUAUGACCAAGCAAUUUCAACCGC